AUUGAACGCUGGCGGCAGGCCUAACACAUGCAAGUCGAGCGGAUGAGAGGAGCUUGCUUCUCGAUUCAGCGGCGGACGGGUGAGUAAUGCCUAGGAAUCUGCCUGGUAGUGGGGGACAACGUUUCGAAAGGAACGCUAAUACCGCAUACGUCCUACGGGAGAAAGCAGGGGACCUUCGGGCCUUGCGCUAUCAGAUGAGCCUAGGUCGGAUUAGCUAGUUGGUGGGGUAAUGGCUCACCAAGGCGACGAUCCGUAACUGGUCUGAGAGGAUGAUCAGUCACACUGGAACUGAGACACGGUCCAGACUCCUACGGGAGGCAGCAGUGGGGAAUAUUGGACAAUGGGCGAAAGCCUGAUCCAGCCAUGCCGCGUGUGUGAAGAAGGUCUUCGGAUUGUAAAGCACUUUAAGUUGGGAGGAAGGGUUGUACGUUAAUACCGUGCAAUUUUGACGUUACCGACAGAAUAAGCACCGGCUAACUCUGUGCCAGCAGCCGCGGUAAGAC
rnacentral:rRNA from 1 species